UCAGACGGCCGGGCGAUCGCCCUCGCUUGCGGGGGAGGAAAGUCCGGGCUCCACGGUGACAAGGCGGCGGGUAACGCCCGCCGGGGGCGACCCCAGGGAUAGCGCCACAGAAAGCAAACCUCCUGCGGCUUCGGCCAAAGGGAAGGGUGAAAGGGUGGGGUAAGAGCCCACCGCGGACGUGGCAACACGGACGGCAUGGCAAGCCCCGCCUGGAGCAAGACCGAAUAGGGAUUCCGCGCCCGGCCAGUCCUUUCGGGGAUACUGCCGGGCAGGGCCGUCGCCGGCCCGAGGCGUCCGGGUUGGUCGCGAGAACCGUCCCGCGAGGGGCGGUCCAGAGGAAUGAUCGUCGCGUCCCGUUUCGGCGGGGCGGCACAGAACCCGGCUUACAGGCCGUCUGAUCCG
rnacentral:RNase_P_RNA from 1 species